AUUGAACGCUGGCGGCAGGCCUAACACAUGCGAGUCGAGCGGCUGCAGGGAGCUUGCUCCUGGAUUCAGCGCCGGACGCGUGCGUAAUGCCUAUACAUCUGCCUGGUCGUGGGGGAUGACGUCCGGGUACGGGCGCUUAUACCGCUUCCGCCCUGGGCGUGCAAGUGAGGGCUCGUCGCAUUCCACGCUAUCAGGUGAGCCUAGGUCGGAUUAGCUAGUUGGUGGGGUAAAGGCCUACCAAGGCGACGAUCCGUAACUGGUCUGAGAGGAUGAUCAGUCACACUGGAACUGAGACACGGUCCAGACUCCUACGGGAGGCAGCAGUGGGGAAUAUUGGACAAUGGGCGAAAGCCUGAUCCAGCCAUGCCGCGUGUGUGAAGAAGGUCUUCGGAUUGUAAAGCACUUUUAGUUGGGAGGAAGGGCAGUAAGUUAAUACCUUGCUGUUUUGACGGUACCAACAGAAUAAGCACCGGCUAACUUCGUG
rnacentral:rRNA from 1 species